CCUACGGGAGGCAGCAGCAGUGGGAAUAUUGCACAAUGGGCGGAAGCCUGAUGCAGCAACGCCGCGUGCGGGAUGACGGCCUUCGGGUUGUAAACCGCUUUCGCCUGUGACGAAGCGUGAGUGACGGUAAUGGGUAAAGAAGCACCGGCUAACUACGUGCCAGCAGCCGCGGUGAUACGUAGGGUGCGAGCGUUGUCCGGAUUUAUUGGGCGUAAAGGGCUCGUAGGUGGUUGAUCGCGUCGGAAGUGUAAUCUUGGGGCUUAACCCUGAGCGUGCUUUCGAUACGGGUUGACUUGAGGAAGGUAGGGGAGAAUGGAAUUCCUGGUGGAGCGGUGGAAUGCGCAGAUAUCAGGAGGAACACCGAUGGCGAAGGCAGGUCUCUGGGCUGUAACUGACGCUGAGGAGCGAAAGCAUGGGGAGCGAACAGGAUUAGAUACCCUGGUAGUCCAUGCCGUAAACGUUGGGCGCUAGGUGUGG
rnacentral:rRNA from 1 species